UACGAAGGGGGCUAGCGUUGCUCGGAAUUACUGGGCGUAAAGCGCACGUAGGCGGCUUUCUAAGUCGGGGGUGAAAUCCUGGAGCUCAACUCCAGAACUGCCUUUGAUACUGGAAAGCUCGAGUCCGGGAGAGGUGAGUGGAACUGCGAGUGUAGAGGUGAAAUUCGUAGAUAUUCGCAAGAACACCAGUGGCGAAGGCGGCUCACUGGCCCGGUACUGACGCUGAGGUGCGAAAGCGUGGGGAGCAAACAGG
rnacentral:rRNA from 1 species